UGGGGAAUAUUGCGCAAUGGAGGAAACUCUGACGCAGCCAUGCCGCGUGAGUGAAGAAGGCCCUAGGGUUGUAAAACUCUUUCAACGGUGAAGAUGAUGACGGUAACCGUAGAAGAAGCACCGGCUAACUUCGUGCCAGCAGCCGCGGUAAUACGAAGGGUGCUAGCGUUGUUCGGAAUUACUGGGCGUAAAGGGCGUGUAGGCGGAUAUGUAAGUUAGGGGUGAAAUCCCGGGGGCUCAACCUCGGAACUGCCUUUAAUACUGCAUAUCUAGAAUCCAUGAGGGGAUAGUGGAAUAUCAAGUGUAGAGGUGAAAUUCGUAGAUAUUUGGAGGAACACCAGUGGCGAAGGCGGCUCACUGGCUCGAUACUGACGCUGAGGUGCGAAAGUGUGGGGAAGCAAACAGGAUUAGAUACCCUGGUAGUCCACACCGUAAAACGAUGAGUGCUAGUCGUCGGCAGGCAUGCCUGUCGGUGACGCAGCUAACGCAUUAAGCACUCCGCCU
rnacentral:rRNA from 1 species